rnacentral:rRNA from 1 species
UACGUAGGGUGCGAGCGUUGUCCGGAAUUAUUGGGCGUAAAGAGCUUGUAGGCGGUUUGUCGCGUCUGCCGUGAAAACCUGCAGCUUAACUGUGGGCUUGCGGUCGAUACGGGCAUCACUGGAGUUCGGCAGGGGAGACUGGAAUUCCUGGUGUAGCGGUGAAAUGCGCAGAUAUCAGGAGGAACACCGAUGGCGAAGGCAGAUCUCUGGGCCGUAACUGACGCUGAGGAGCGAAAGCGUGGGGAGCGAACAGG